GCGUGGUGGGGAACUUGGAAAGGAGCUUGAAGAGGCAGUUGGAGAUGCCAUCAGAUUCAUCCAGAAGAACUUUGCUAAAGUAUAACACUGAACUCUGUCCUCUGGCACCAUGCCUUCAAAGACCUGACCUCUGACACUGCCUCCAACAUUUCCUGCUGAAUGACACCUGUGCAGGGUAUCCCUGAAAGAGGUGGUUGCUUUGGCUUUAGGCCCAGCAUCUUCAGGAGCUCUAACUCAUCUGGCAUCACCCCCUUAUGCUGUUACCAUUGGUAUCAUCUGGUCUGGUAUCCAGCCUUCAGAUUACUGAUGCUGACUUGGACUGCUUCUGCUGAUUGCUGUGUGCCCCCUCAAGUGAGACCUUCAAGACCUUGAUGACUUGACAUCUUUGUGGCCUUCGAACCAUUGCUGCUACCUCUGGCCCUGCCCCUUUCUCCCAAAUACUCUCUCUCCUUUAGGUCCCCUAGGCUUCAAAUUCCUUUCGUUUUUGUUCUGUGCCCCCGCUUGACACUGGGACUUCCCUAUGUACCACUCAUCAGAGUCUGCAUCUUGCAGUUCUUCGGCUGGGAUCUACUCGAGCAAUACUGGAGACCUGUUGGAGUGAUGUCAGAAGCAUGGGAGGGUGAGAGAAUUCACCAGAGCCAGAGCGGGGAGCAGAGCAGGCAGAAGGACCGAGGUACACUGCUGA